UGUAUUCACUCACUGUAAGUUACUUUGGAUAAAAGUGUCUGCUAAAUGGCAUAUA
rfam:Salmo salar isolate Sally breed double haploid chromosome ssa09, whole genome shotgun sequence.